rnacentral:rRNA from 1 species
CCUACGGGAGGCAGCAGUGGGGAAUAUUGCACAAUGGGGGGAACCCUGAUGCAGCGACGCCGCGUGCGGGAUGACGGCCUUCGGGUUGUAAACCGCUUUCAGCAGGGACGAAUCUGACGGUACCUGCAGAAGAAGCGCCGGCUAACUACGUGCCAGCAGCCGCGGUAAUACGUAGGGCGCAAGCGUUGUCCGGAAUUAUUGGGCGUAAAGAGCUCGUAGGCGGCUUGUCGCGUCGGACGUGAAAGCUCGGGGCUUAACCCCGGGUCUGCGUUCGAUACGGGCAGGCUAGAGGCAGGUAGGGGAGAACGGAAUUCCCGGUGUAGCGGUGAAAUGCGCAGAUAUCGGGAGGAACACCGGUGGCGAAGGCGGUUCUCUGGGCCUGUACUGACGCUGAGGAGCGAAAGCGUGGGGAGCGAACAGGAUUAGAUACCCUGGUAGUCCACGCCGUAAACGUUGGGCGCUAGGUGUGGGGACCUUCCACGGUUUCCGCGCCGCAGCUAACGCAUUAAGCGCCCCGCCUGGGGAGUACGGCCGCAAGGCUAAAACUCAAAGGAAUUGACGG